rnacentral:rRNA from 1 species
UACGUAGGGGGCUAGCGUUGUCCGGAUUUAUUGGGCGUAAAGAGCGUGUAGGCGGCCAGGUAGGUCUGCUGUGAAAACUCGAGGCUCAACCUCGAGACGUCGGCGGAAACCAUCUGGCUAGAGUCCGGAAGAGGAGAGUGGAAUUCCUGGUGUAGCGUUGAAAUGCGCAGAUAUCAGGAAGAACACCCGUGGCGAAGGCGGCUCUCUGGGACGGUACUGACGCUGAGACGCGAAAGCGUGGGGAGCGAACAGG